AUUGAACGCUGGCGGCAGGCUUAACACAUGCAAGUCGAGCGGGGGAAGGUAGCUUGCUACCGGACCUAGCGGCGGACGGGUGAGUAAUGCUUAGGAAUCUGUCUAUUAGUGGGGGACAACAUCUCGAAAGGGAUGCUAAUACCGCAUACGUCCUACGGGAGAAAGCAGGGGAUCUUCGGACCUUGCGCUAAUAGAUGAGCCUAAGUCAGAUUAGCUAGUUGGUGGGGUAAAGGCCUACCAAGGCGACGAUCUGUAGCGGGUCUGAGAGGAUGAUCCGCCACACUGGGACUGAGACACGGCCCAGACUCCUACGGGAGGCAGCAGUGAGGAAUAUUGGACAAUGGGGGGAACCCUGAUCCAGCCAUGCCGCGUGUGUGAAGAAGGCCUUAUGGUUGUAAAGCACUUUAAGCGAGGAGGAGGCUACUUUAGUUAAUACCUAGAGAUAGUGGACGUUACUCGCAGAAUAAGCACCGGCUAACUCUGUGCCAGCCGCCGCCGUAA
rnacentral:rRNA from 1 species